rnacentral:rRNA from 1 species
UCAAAUUUGAAAUCUGGCGUCUUUGGCGUCCGAGUUGUAAUUUGAAGAAGGUAUCUUUGGGCCCGGCUCUUGUCUAUGUUCCUUGGAACAGGACGUCACAGAGGGUGAGAAUCCCGUGCGAUGAGAUGACCCGGGUCUGUGUAAAGUUCCUUCGACGAGUCGAGUUGUUUGGGAAUGCAGCUCUAAGUGGGUGGUAAAUUCCAUCUAAAGCUAAAUAUUGGCGAGAGACCGAUAGCGAACAAGUACAGUGAUGGAAAGAUGAAAAGAACUUUGAAAAGAGAGUGAAAAAGUACGUGAAAUUGUUGAAAGGGAAGGGCUUGAGAUCAGACUUGGUAUUUUGCAUGCUGCUCUCUCGGGGGCGGCCGCUGCGGUUUACCGGGCCAGCAUCGGUUUGGAGCGGCAGGAUAAUGGCGGAGGAAUGUGGCACGGCUUCUGCUGUGUGUUAUAGCCUCUGACGAUACUGCCAGCCUAGACCGAGGACUGCGGUUUUUACCUAGGAUGUUGGCAUAAUGAUCUUAAGUCGCCCGUCUUG